rnacentral:rRNA from 1 species
GAGCUUGCUCUUUCCGGAUGAGUUGCGAACGGGUGAGUAACGCGUAGGUAACCUGCCUGGUAGCGGGGGAUAACUAUUGGAAACGAUAGCUAAUACCGCAUAAUAGUAGAUAUCGCAUGAUAACUGCUUAAAAGGUGCAAUUGCAUCACUACCAGAUGGACCUGCGUUGUAUUAGCUAGUUGGUGAGGUAACGGCUCACCAAGGCAACGAUACAUAGCCGACCUGAGAGGGUGAUCGGCCACACUGGGACUGAGACGCGGCCCAGACUCCUACGGGAGGCAGCAGUAGGGAAUCUUCGGCAAUGGACGGAAGUCUGACCGAGCAACGCCGCGUGAGUGAAGAAGGUUUUCGGAUCGUAAAGCUCUGUUGUAAGAGAAGAAUGAGUGUGAGAGUGGAAAGUUCACACUGUGACGGUAUCUUACCAGAAAGGGACGGCUAACUACGUGCCAGCAGCCGCGGUAAUACGUAGGUCCCGAGCGUUGUCCGGAUUUAUUGGGCGUAAAGCGAGCGCAGGCGGUUAGAUAAGUCUGAAGUUAAAGGCUGUGGCUUAACCAUAGUACGCUUUGGAAACUGUUUAACUUGAGUGCAAGAGGGGAGAGUGGAAUUCCAUGUGUAGCGGUGAAAUGCGUAGAUAUAUGGAGGAACACCGGUGGCGAAAGCGGCUCUCUGGCUUGUAACUGACGCUGAGGCUCGAAAGCGUGGGGAGCAAACAGGAUUAGAUACCCUGGUAGUCCACGCCGUAAACGAUGAGUGCUAGGUGUUAGACCCUUUCCGGGGUUUAGUGC